GACGAACGCUGGCGGCGUGCCUAAUACAUGCAAGUUGAGCGCUGAAGGUUGGUACUUGUACCAACUGGAUGAGCAGCGAACGGGUGAGUAACGCGUGGGGAAUCUGCCUUUGAGCGGGGGACAACAUUUGGAAACGAAUGCUAAUACCGCAUAAAAACUUUAAACACAAGUUUUAAGUUUGAAAGAUGCAAUUGCAUCACUCAAAGAUGAUCCCGCGUUGUAUUAGCUAGUUGGUGAGGUAAAGGCUCACCAAGGCGAUGAUACAUAGCCGACCUUAGAGGGUGAUCGGCCACAUUGGGACUGAGACACGGCCCAAACUCCUACGGGAGGCAGCAGUAGGGAGUCUUAGGCAAUGGACGAAAGUCUGACCGAGCAACGCCGCGUGAGUGAAGAAGGUUGUCGGAUCGUAAAACUCUGUUGGUAGAGAAGAACGUUGGUGAGAGUGGAAAGCUCAUCAAGUGACGGUAACUACCCAGAAAGGGACGGCUAACUACGUG
rnacentral:rRNA from 1 species